CCGUAUUGAAUCACUCACGUGAAUCAGUCGAAAAAUGAAAGAGACUCGCCAGAGAGCCCCGAACAAGUCCGACCAGCCUGACCACCCGGUGAGACGAGGGGCUAGAGUUCUCGAAAAAUAUGCCAAGUUCUCGAUAUGAGUGGCCCUAUGGACUCCCGUACGCGGGACGAGGGCCGGAUCGGGACUUGGCACAAAUAAUAUAUUCAUACUCUAUGUUCUCGAUAUGAGAAGCCCGACGACUUCCCGUGCUGGCCUCCAGGCGCGGGAUGAGGGCUGGAUCGAGACGCAUAUGUGCUAUGAAGCAAAAUGUUGCGAAAUAUGCUAUGUUCUGAGACUCGCCAGAGUGCCCCGAAGAAGUCCGACCGGCCUGACCACCCGGUGAGACGAGGGGCUAGAGAUCUCAAAAAAUAUACGCCAAGUACUCGACGAGCCUCCGAGACUUGCUAAGAAAUAAAUGUCUCGUUGAAGUCCCAUGGCAUCCCCGUGCUGGCAACAGUGCGGGGUGAGGGACGGAUCGAGACUCAAGAAUGAAAUGUUGCAAAAUAUAAGCCAAGUUCUCGAUAUGAGUGGCCCUAUAGACUCCCGUACGCGGGACGAGGGCCGGGUCGAGUCUUGCUAUAAUCACGCAACUUUGAAACAUAGCCAUUUAAAUGGACUCGUGUAUCCCGUUGAACUCUCGUGCUGGCCUGUCAGGCACGAGACGAGGGGCACACGAGUCCAACACGCAACUUAGCUUCAUAGCCAUAUCAAUAAGGACUCGUAUGAGCGGCCCGUUGAACUCUCGUGCUGGCCUGUCAGGCACGAGACGAGGGCUGGACGAGAGCCUUCCCGAACUUAGUACUCUGGCUGAGCAUGUAAGCGUAACGCUCUCCUCGGAGAGCGGAAUCCCUUGAAUAAGCAGAGUACGGGCACUGAGAGAUGUUCUCCUCGGAGAGCAGAUGAAGUUUUGGUAACGGAUCGAAUCGUUCGUCUUGCCUAGAGAGCGCUAACAGUGCGCCGGCGACGAGAGACGGUUGUUUUUAAAGCUAUUUUUGCGCCAUUACGACUCAGUGUAACGCCCAUAUCGUGCCGUGUGUGCGAGUAUGUGGCACCCCGCCGACGGUGGCCCUUUCGGGGCGGGCCGUCGUGCGGGUACCGGGACGUGUGUUCAGAAGCGACCGAGUCAUGUCGGGCACCUGACGAAAGUCUCCCUAGGACUCAGCCUAAAUCAUGCCGCUGUUCGUGGACUUGUGAGAAAUCAGGGUCGAUACACGUUCAGUUCGGAUAAUCAAU
rnacentral:misc_RNA from 1 species